rnacentral:lncRNA from 1 species
AUUUUUUCAUCCUUCUGUCUAAAUACUGGUCCCAGUUUGAAUGCUGUCUUUUCACUAUGUAAUGAGCUACGACAAUUCACAAUACCUGGAUGAAGAAAGAGCUCCAUUCAUUGAACACCUACAAUACAGCAGAAAUGAUUUUUCUGGACAACAAACAAAACUGGAGCUAAUUUUCUAGUGGCGACGGGGAGAUAGCAAACAAAUGAUGUGCUUCCAGGCACUGCAGACUUUGAGUAAAGAAGAUUACCUUCCAUAAUGUUGGUGAGCCUUAUCCAAUCAUUUGAAGGCCAUAAGAGAAAAGACAGAGGUCUCUCAAAGAGGAAGGAAUUCUGCCUCCAGACUGCAUCAUCGAAAUUCUGCCUGAGUUUCCAGCCUUCAAACUCAAGACUACAAAAUCUCUUGGCAGAAUUUCCAGGCUGCUAGCCUGUCUUGUGGAUUUUGGACUUGCCUGCCCCCACAAUUGUGUGAGCCAAUUCCUUAAAAUAAAUCUCUUUCUGCA